GGCAACAAGCAUGCUGGGACCAUUCUGUCUGCUGUUUGGGUCUCACUUGUCCUGACAACUAAAAAUCAUCAGUGGAAAGAAGCUGGAAUCAUCCUAACAAGAGUGAUAGUCUUUCCCCAAGUGAGACCAGGCUGUGCUAUCUGGGGAAAAGCAUCGCUGGCCUUGCCGAGAUGCACCGACGACUCAGCUCAGCUAAGGACUUAACCAGUAGAGGACUUGCUGCAGUGGAGCCUGAGCUGGAUAUGGAAAGCAAAAGAAGUUGUGUCUGGCUACUCCCUUGAACCAGCAGAGACAGAUAUCAGGACAACACGGACUUAACAUGGAACACAGGAUUGUAAA